GUGGGGAAUCUUAGACAAUGGGCGCAAGCCUGAUCUAGCCAUGCCGCGUGAGCGAUGAAGGCCUUAGGGUUGUAAAGCUCUUUCGCUGGGGAAGAUAAUGACUGUACCCAGUAAAGAAGCCCCGGCUAACUCCGUGCCAGCAGCCGCGGUAAUACGGAGGGGGCUAGCGUUGUUCGGAAUUACUGGGCGUAAAGCGCGCGUAGGCGGAUUGGAAAGUUGGGGGUGAAAUCCCGGGGCUCAACCUCGGAACUGCCUUCAAAACUCCCAGUCUUGAGUGCGAGAGAGGUGAGUGGAAUUCCGAGUGUAGAGGUGAAAUUCGUAGAUAUUCGGAGGAACACCAGUGGCGAAGGCGGCUCACUGGCUCGAUACUGACGCUGAGGUGCGAAAGCGUGGGGAGCAAACAGGAUUAGAUACCCGAGUAGUCC
rnacentral:rRNA from 1 species